AGCUCCAAUAGCGUAUAUUAAAGUUGUUGCGGUUAAAAAGCUCGUAGUUGGAUUUCUUCUCUUGUCAGCCGGUCCUCACUUCGUGAGUGCAUCUGGUCAGACUCGAGAAUCCUCUCGGGGAACGUCGUUGCGCUUGAUUGCGUGACACGGUAAUCGAGACUUUUACUUUGAGGAAAUUGGAGUGUUCACGGCAGGCAAUCGCCUUGUACACAUUAGCAUGGAAUAAUAAUAUAGGAUCGCGAUUUCUAUUUUGUUGGUUUCUAGAGUUGUGAUAAUGAUUAAUAGGGACAAUUGGGGAGA
rnacentral:rRNA from 1 species